rnacentral:rRNA from 1 species
UACGUAGGGCGCAAGCGUUGUCCGGAAUUAUUGGGCGUAAAGAGCUCGUAGGCGGUCUGUCGCGUCGGCUGUGAAAAACCCGAGGCUCAACCUCGGGGCCUGCAGUCGAUACGGGGCAAAACUAGAGUACUGCAGGGGGAGACUGGGAAUUCCUGGUGUAGCGGUGAAAAUGCGCAGAUAUCAGGGAGGGAAACACCGGGUGGGCGAAAGGGCGGGGGUCUCU